UAUGAAGAACGUAGCGAAAUGCGAUAAGUAAUGUGAAUUGCAGAAUUCAGUGAAUCAUCGAAUCUUUGAACGCACAUUGCGCCCUCUGGUAUUCCGGGGGGCAUGCCUGUUCGAGCGUCAUUACAACCCUCAAGCUUUGCUUGGUAUUGGACAUUGCCAGUUUCUGGCAGGUCUUAAAAUCAGUGGCGGUGCCAUUUGGCUUCAAGCGUAGUAAUUCUUCUCGCUUUGGAGAUCCAAGUGGUUACUUGCCAAUAACCCCCAAUUUUUUCAGGUUGACCUCGGAUCAGGUAGGGAUACCCGCUGAACUUAAGCAUAUCAAUAAGCGGAGGA
rnacentral:misc_RNA from 1 species